rnacentral:rRNA from 1 species
AUACGUAGGGGGCAAGCGUUAUCCGGAUUUACUGGGUGUAAAGGGAGCGUAGACGGAAGGCCAAGUCUGAUGUGAAAGCCCGCGGCUCAACUGCGGGACUGCAUUGGAAACUGGUCAUCUGGAGUGCAGGAGGGGUAAGCGGAAUUCCUAGUGUAGCGGUGAAAUGCGUAGAUAUUAGGAGGAACACCGAUUGCGAAGGCAUCUCACGAAGGGGUGAUUGACGCUGAGGCACGAAAGCGUGGGGAUCAAACAGGAUUAGAUACCCUGGUAGUCCACGCAGUAAACGAUGAUAACUAACCGCUGGGUCGUAGUGAUUCAGUGGCCAAGCGAAAGCGAUAAGUUAUCCACCUGGGGAGUACGACCGCAAGGUUGAAACUCAAAGGAAUUGACGGGG